rnacentral:snRNA from 1 species
AUCGCUUCUCGAGCUUUUUAGCUCAGAUCAAAGUGUAGUAUCUGUUCUUAUCAGCUUAAUCUCUGGUAUAACCGUCAUUGAUGGUUUUUGAGAUUAGAUGAUUUUUGGGACCUGGAUGGUUGUUGGGGCUUGCUCCACACUAUCCACUGGUCGGCCCGGUCUUGCACUUGACUCCGGGAACGGCCUAAAAUAC